CCCGGGAAACCCAAAAUAGUUUACCCAUUUAUCCCAAAUUGACAUUGGUACAGACGCAAUUUCUCCCAAAGCCAAGUCGGCCGCCACACUUACCGUCACCGCCAGCCGACGUCGACGAAGAGCGUACAUCGCAUCCUUCACAUUUACACCAUUGGCAGCCACGAUUUGAUGUCAGUUUGCCCUAAGCUCCUACCCCAAGCAGAAUCACAGCCGCACUCACCUCAUCGCCUGGCGCCGCAUUCUCCUUCUUCCCCGGUGCCCCACUCCCCUUAGCCAUACCUCCAUCACCUAGCGAUAAUUAAUCGGCAAGAAUGAGAGGAAGAAAUUUUGGACAAUCAGGCACUCGACAAGGAAUAUGAAGAAUUGCCAAGACUCUUUGAUGGGCUAGCUUGAAUUAGCAAGUAACGAGGCGUUGACAUAUCAUUACACAUGAUUUUUAGCAAGGGAAAAGGAAUUGCCAACUGUGACGGAAAAGGAAAGAGAUUAGAUUGAGGGGGUGAUUUGAGUCAUGUCUUCGGUUGAAGCACUGGUAUAAUGUGAAUUUCAAUUUGUAUAACUAUAUAUUGGUUUUAUGUAUGUCUAAUCUGCAUUUCAAUGUGGUUUCUGAGACAAAAAUGAACUUGUGAUCCA